rnacentral:rRNA from 1 species
UGGGGAAUUUUGGACAAUGGGCGCAAGCCUGAUCCAGCCAUGCCGCGUGCAGGAAGAAGGCCUUCGGGUUGUAAACCGCUUUUGUCAGGGAAGAAACGAGUUUCUCUAAUACAGAGACUUAAUGACGGUACCUGAAGAAUAAGCACCGGCUAACUCCGUGCCAGCAGCUGCGGUAAUACGGAGGGUGCAAGCAUUAAUCGGAUUUAUUGGGCGUAAAGGGCGCGUAGGCGGGGAUAAAAGUCAGAUGUGAAAUCCUGGGGCUCAACCUCAGAACAGCAUUUGAAAGUCUAUUUCUAGAGGGUAGGCGGAGAAAACGGAAUUCCACAAGUAGCGGUGAAAUGCGUAGAUAUGCGGAGGAACACCGAUGGCGAAGGCAGCCUCCUGGGCCAGUACUGACGCUCAUGCACGAAAGCGUGGGGAGCAAACA